GCAUUGAAACAUUGGUUCCCAUUUGAACACCAAAAUUAAGCAACAUCAAGCUUGGUCUGUUCCUAGAUGGGUGACCACUUAGGAAUACUAGGUGUUGGA